CAAUAGCGUAUAUUUAAGUUGUUGCAGUUAAAAAGCUCGUAGUUGGAUUUCGGGUGGGACGCAGCGGUCUCGCAUUGCGUUUGUACUGCUGCAGCCCCCCUUCUUGCCGGGGGCGGCCUCUCGGACUUCACUGUCUGGGGGUCAGAAUCGGCGAUGUUACUUUGAGUAAAUUAGAGUGUUCAAAGCAAGCUUACGCUCUGAAUAUAAUAGCAUGGGAUAACACGACAGGACUCUGGCCUAUCGUGUUGGUCUAUAGGACCAGAGUAAUGAUUAAGAGGGACAGUCGGGGGCAUUCGUAUUCCGUUGUCAGAGGUGAAAUUCUUGGAUUUACGGAAGACGAACAUCUGCGAAAGCAUUUGCCAAGGAUGUUUNCAUUG
rnacentral:rRNA from 1 species